CCUACGGGAGGCUGCAGUGAGGAAUAUUGGUCAAUGGACGAGAGUCUGAACCAGCCAAGUAGCGUGAAGGAUGACUGCCCUAUGGGUUGUAAACUUCUUUUAUAAAGGAAUAAAGCGAGGCAAGUGUGCCUUUUUGCAUGUACUUUAUGCAUCAGGAACGGCUAACUCCGUGCCAGCAGCCGCGGUAAUACGGAGGGUCCGAGCGUUAUCCGGAUUUGUUGGGUUUAACGGGAGCGUAGAUGGGUUGUUAAGUCAGUUGUGAAAGUUUGCGGCUCAACCGUAAAAUUGCAAUUGAUUCGGGCAGUCAUGAGUACAGUUGAGGUAGGGGGAAUUCGUGGGGUAGCGGUGAAAUG
rnacentral:rRNA from 1 species